UUAAUGAGAGUUUGAUCCUGGCUCAGGACGAACGCUGGCGGCGUGCCUAAUACAUGCAAGUAGAACGCUGAAGAGAGGAGCUUGCUCUUCUUGGAAGAGUUGCGAACGGGUGAGUAACGCGUAGGUAACCUGCCUUGUAGCGGGGGAUAACUAUUGGAAACGAUAGCUAAUACCGCAUAACAAUGGAUGACCCAUGUCAUUCAUUUGAAAGGGGCAACUGCUCCACUACAAGAUGGACCUGCGUUGUAUUAGCUAGUAGGUGAGGUAACGGCUCACCUAGGCGACGAUACAUAGCCGACCUGAGAGGGUGAUCGGCCACACUGGGACUGAGACACGGCCCAGACUCCUACGGGAGGCAGCAGUAGGGAAUCUUCGGCAAUGGGGGCAACCCUGACCGAGCAACGCCGCGUGAGUGAAGAAGGUUUUCGGAUCGUAAAGCUCUGUUGUAAGUCAAGAACGAGUGUGAGAGUGGAAAGUUCACACUGUGACGGUAGCUUACCAGAAAGGGACGGCUAACUACGUGCCAGCAGCCGCGGUAAUACGUAGGUCCCGAGCGUUGUCCGGAUUUAUUGGGCGUAAAGCGAGCGCAGGCGGUUUGAUAAGUCUGAAGUUAAAGGCUGUGGCUCAACCAUAGUUCGCUUUGGAAACUGUCAAACUUGAGUGCAGAAGGGGAGAGUGGAAUUCCAUGUGUAGCGGUGAAAUGCGUAGAUAUAUGGAGGAACACCGGUGGCGAAAGCGGCUCUCUGGUCUGUAACUGACGCUGAGGCUCGAAAGCGUGGGGAGCGAACAGGAUUAGAUACCCUGGUAGUCCACGCCGUAAACGAUGAGUGCUAGGUGUUGGGUCCUUUCCGGGAUUCAGUGCCGCAGCUAACGCAUUAAGCACUCCGCCUGGGGAGUACGACCGCAAGGUUGAAACUCAAAGGAAUUGACGGGGGCCCGCACAAGCGGUGGAGCAUGUGGUUUAAUUCGAAGCAACGCGAAGAACCUUACCAGGUCUUGACAUCCCGAUGCUAUUUCUAGAGAUAGGAAGUUACUUCGGUACAUCGGUGACAGGUGGUGCAUGGUUGUCGUCAGCUCGUGUCGUGAGAUGUUGGGUUAAGUCCCGCAACGAGCGCAACCCCUAUUGUUAGUUGCCAUCAUUCAGUUGGGCACUCUAGCGAGACUGCCGGUAAUAAACCGGAGGAAGGUGGGGAUGACGUCAAAUCAUCAUGCCCCUUAUGACCUGGGCUACACACGUGCUACAAUGGUUGGUACAACGAGUUGCGAGUCGGUGACGGCGAGCUAAUCUCUUAAAGCCAAUCUCAGUUCGGAUUGUAGGCUGCAACUCGCCUACAUGAAGUCGGAAUCGCUAGUAAUCGCGGAUCAGCACGCCGCGGUGAAUACGUUCCCGGGCCUUGUACACACCGCCCGUCACACCACGAGAGUUUGUAACACCCGAAGUCGGUGAGGUAACCUUAUGGAGCCAGCCGCCUAAGGUGGGAUAGAUGAUUGGGGUGAAGUCGUAACAAGGUAGCCGUAUCGGAAGGUGCGGCUGGAUCACCUCCUUUCUAAG
rnacentral:rRNA from 1 species